UUUCCCAUUAUAGCUAACGGUCAUUAUCUUUAAAUCAGUACAUAAUUAGGACUCUAUUACUUGUGUAAAUAUCUUGUAAAUCCUACAGUUUAUUAUUCAAUAAACAAACCACAAUUCUUUUAUCUCUAAUUCUUUUGGAUCUCUAUCAUUAUUCAACUUGGUAUCAAGAGCCUUGUUUUUUUUCCAGAUCCUCAUGAUUAAGUUUUUUUCCAGUAAAUAUGUUUCGUUCAUCUUUGCUUCAGAUUCUCAAUCCAUAUCCAUCAUUCCUAUAGUCAUCUCUGAAUUCGUUCCUUGACUGACCCCUUUGAUUUCUAUUUUCCUUUUUGAAUUAGGAUUGAUUCACGAGAUACCUUGUCAACAAAAUUUUAUGGACAUAACUAUCUGAUUUGGAUGUUCCAUUUCUAAGCCUUAAUUAGAGGCAAAGGCCUCCUUGAUAAUUUGGAUGUCUCACAGGUUGUACCCACAGAAGACAGAGAAAAAGAGGCUUGGAAGGCUGACAAUGGCAAAAUUAUUGCAUGGCUUGUCAAUUCCGUCUCUGUUGAUAUAGCCAUGGAACAUACAUAUUUUGUGAAAGCAUCAUAAAUGUGGAGUCAUCUACAUACCCUCGGUAACCAACAAAAUCUGGCUCGAGAAUUUGAAUACUUGCAGAAUCUAUACAAGGAUUUCAUGACUACUAUGAAAAGGACAACGACAGUCAAUUUCUAAAGAAACUGAGGCCCGAGUUUGAGCAUCUGCAUGCUAGUAUUCUUAACAAGGAAAAACUACCAGCUUUGGAGGUGGUAGUUUACUUAAGUUCUUCAAAAGAAACUCGGUUGAGUUCUCAAGCUUCCAUGGAGAAUUCCCUCACCAUGGACACUGCCUUGGUUGCAUACAGAAGUUCUUCCUCAGGCAACUCUAAUAAAUUAGGUCAAUGAUAUCAUUGCAAGGAACAUGGCACAUUAUUUCCAAGAAGCAAUAUUAUUGCAACUAUUCUAAGAAAGAUGUUCAUAUUAUUCUGCAAUGUCGUAAGAAAUCUGGUCCAGGAAAACGCUCAACUCCUCAUAAAUCUUCCAAGCAAUGACAAGGGAUAUUGAAACACGAGAAACACCAAGCACAAAAGUGCUUGAUCGCAAAUGAUAUCUAGAAAAUGAUACAAGAAUCAUUAGUGGCUGCUCUUCCUAAUGCAAUCUCUACAGCUCUGACUGUCAUGUAUCCUGGAUAUGGCCAUGUUUUAACAGCAUUACCUAUUGGCUCCAUCAAUCCAUUUUCAGAGGUUCUUUGUGUACCAAAGCUUACUGCAAGUCUUUUAUCUGUUGGGCAACUUGUAGAACAAUUUUUUUUGGUUAUUUUUUAUCCUAAUGGUUGUGUUAUUCAGAACAUAUUGACAAGGAAAACGAUGGCCAGGGGAAGUAAGGUGGGCAGCCUUAUUCUUCUUCAAUCUCAGGAUACCAAACUCCAUUAUUAGUGUUUUCUUUCAGCUUCAAAUAAAGAUAUCCAAUUUUCAAAUAAAAUGUGAAAUGUGGCAUCUCUGUUUAGGCCAUCCACACGUUUCUCGGUUAAAUUUUAUGCUCAAAUCUUCUAAUAUGUUGGCAAACAUUCACUGAUUUCCCCCUCUAAAUUACCUUGUAAGUGUUGUGCAAAAUCAAAGUCAUAAAAUUCCUUUUCAAUUAAGCAGUACAAAUUAUUCUUCUCCCUUUGAUUUAAUUCAUAGCGAUGUUUGGGGACCUUCUCCAACUAUAUCUCGUUUGGGAUACAAGUAUUUCAUUCGAUUCAUUGAUCAAGUAUCUCGUUUUAUAGGAAUUUUCUUCUUGAAACACAGGUCUGAGGUACCAAAUACUGUCAAAAAUUUUUAUAACCUUAUUGAAACCCAAUUUGAGAAAAGAUCAAGAUUUUUCGUUCAGAUU